AGCAGCCGCGGUAAUUCCAGCUCCAAUAGCGUAUAUUAAAGUUGUUGCAGUUAAAAAGCUCGUAGUUGAAUUUCGGGAUCAAUUAAUUGGUCGUGCCUAUGGUACGUACUGAUUUUAUGGUUUCUCCCUUCUGACGAACCAUGAUGUCAUUAAUUUGGUGUCGUGGAGAAUCAGGACUGUUACUUUGAAAAAUUAGAGUGUUUAAAGCAAGCUAACGCUUGAAUACAUUAGCAUGGAAUAAUGAAAUAGGACGUUUGAUCCUAUUUUGUUGGUUUCUAGGAUCGACGUAAUGAUUAAUAGGGAUAGUUGGGGGCAUUAGUAUUCAAUUGUCAGAGGUGAAAUUCUUGGAUUUAUUGAAGACUAACUACUGCGAAAGCAUUUGCCAAGGAUGUUUUCAUUAAUCAAGAACGAAAGUUAGGGGAUCGAAGACGAUCAGAUACCGUCGUAGUCUUAACCAUAAACUAUGCCGACUAGGGAUCGGAUGAUGUUAAUUUUUUAAUGUACUCA
rnacentral:rRNA from 1 species